UCGGUUCGGAAUAACUCAGGGAAACUUGAGCUAAUACCGGAUACGCCCUUUUGGGGAAAGGUUUACUGCCGAAGGAUCGGCCCGCGUCUGAUUAGCUUGUUGGUGGGGUAACGGCCUACCAAGGCGACGAUCAGUAGCUGGUCUGAGAGGAUGAUCAGCCACACUGGGACUGAGACACGGCCCAGACUCCUAUGGGAGGCAGCAGUGGGGAAUAUUGGACAAUGGGCGCAAGCCUGAUCCAGCCAUGCCGCGUGAGUGAUGAAGGCCUUAGGGUUGUAAAGCUCUUUUGUCCGGGACGAUAAUGACGGUACCGGAAGAAUAAGCCCCGGCUAACUUCGUGCCAGCAGCCGCGGUAAUACGAAGGGGGCUAGCGUUGCUCGGAGUCACUGGGCGUAAAGGGCGCGUAGGCGGCCGAUUAAGUCGGGGGUGAAAGCCUGUGGCUCAACCACAGAAUUGCCUUCGAUACUGGUUGGCUUGAGACCGGAAGAGGACAGCGGAACUGCGAGUGUAGAGGUGAAAUUCGUAGAUAUUCGCAAGAACACCAGUGGCGAAGGCGGCUGUCUGGUCCGGUUCUGACGCUGAGGCGCGAAAGCGUG
rnacentral:rRNA from 1 species